GAGAGAGAUGUGAUGAAGCCAGCCGCCAGGUCAGACAUGCUGAAUCUUUCCAGGGCUUUUCAAGACAAUGAGACAUGUCUGCUCCUGGCAGCACCAAUCUACUUAAGAAGAUGAUGGGUGGGCAUCGAAAAGGAUCCUUAUGGAGUUUGAUAGCCAUUUGGGUAAGAAACUGCUCUUGCCUGGACUGUUGCAGAAACUGGACACAAAGAACCCACAGAGAGAGGACUGCUGAACUUGCCUAAAGGGACUGGUAGCCCAAAAGAUGAUUGAGGAAAUCCUGGGAGUACAACAGACUGAGAUGAGAACCCACGGGUGGGUUCUUGGAACUGAACUCAAGUCCUGUGCAGGAGCAGUAGGUGCUCUGAACCACUGAGCUCUCUCUCCAGUUCCUUAGAGCAAUAAUGAUUUUAUUCAUAUUUGGGAAUCCUUGUCACAACCAAAGGUACACAGAGUCCACUGAAAUCACACAUUCCCUUUGUUAAAUACAUAUUUGAAGUGACUGUGGAUUCAGACCACACGGGGGCUUACUUUACGGGUUAAUUUUUGCUCUAGGGUCACUGUGUAUACCUGCUGUACUUAUGACAGCACAACUUGCAAUCACAUAGUAUAAAGUCAUAUAUGUACUCAAUAAAUGCUGUGAAGCAGCCCAGCAGAGAAGUA